GCACCACAGCCAAUCACAAGGCCUCCCAGAGCCGAGCCGCAGCACAGCGCAGCUCGGCAGCCUCUGCCCGUUUGACUCGCAGCAGCCCGAUCCAACCCGCCGGGCUCCGCCUCACACGCGCCGACUCCCCCUACCCAACCGCAGGACACGCCCUCUCAAAAAGCAAAGCCACGCCUCUCUUCGGCUACGUUCCGCAGGGUACACCCACAGGCCGAGGCUUUUCAAGGCCCCCCCCCCCAUCCAAGGAAACGAAAUCACGCCCAUCAUCAUACUUCUUAUUGGGCAGAAGAGAGAAUUGGUGGUGCUGGGAAUCAAAUCCAUUUGGAAGCCACGAUAAGCCUUUAGCUCUACAAGUGUAUUGGCUGUGAUUAUUCGAUGGCAAGGAGUAUGCACUCUGCAUAUGAUCAGAAAUACUUUUAUCUGUAACAACAACAAAACACCAUAAUUGUAAUGUAUAUAGAAUAUUUUUCUCUGCUUUUUCACAGACUCAAAGCAGCUUACAAUAAAUAAUGCAGAUAAAAUGUUUCUACAAUAAAUGAAGCCUCUUGAAAUUCUGCAUUUUC